AAUUGGUCCAAGUAUUGUGGGCUAUUGUUAAGCUGAUUUGACAUUGUCUCCCCCAACAACCAUGCUUGACUAGCUUAAA
ensembl:misc_RNA Y_RNA Y RNA